rnacentral:rRNA from 1 species
AUUGAACGCUGGCGGCAGGCCUAACACAUGCAAGUCGAAUGGUAACAGGAAACAGCUUGCUGUUUCGCUGACGAGUGGCGGACGGGUGAGUAAUGUCUGGGAAACUGCCUGAUGGAGGGGGAUAACUACUGGAAACGGUAGCUAAUACCGCAUAACGUCGCAAGACCAAAGAGGGGGACCUUCGGGCCUCUUGCCAUCAGAUGUGCCCAGAUGGGAUUAGCUAGUAGGUGGGGUAACGGCUCACCUAGGCGACGAUCCCUAGCUGGUCUGAGAGGAUGACCAGCCACACUGGAACUGAGACACGGUCCAGACUCCUACGGGAGGCAGCAGUGGGGAAUAUUGCACAAUGGGCGCAAGCCUGAUGCAGCCAUGCCACGUGUAUGAAGAAGGCCUUCGGGUUGUAAAGUACUUUCAGCGGGGAGGAAGGGAGUAAAGUUAAUACCUUUGCUCAUUGACGUUACCCGCAGAAGAAGCACCGGCUAACUCCGUG